rnacentral:rRNA from 1 species
GUGGGGAAUAUUGGGCAAUGGGCGAAAGCCUGACCCAGCAACGCCGCGUGAGGGAAGAAGGCCUUCGGGUUGUAAACCUCUGUCCUUGGUGACGAAAAAAAUGACGGUAGCCAAGGAGGAAGCCCCGGCUAACUACGUGCCAGCAGCCGCGGUAAUACGUAGGGGGCGAGCGUUGUCCGGAAUUACUGGGCGUAAAGGGUGCGUAGGUGGCCUUUUAAGUUGGAUGUGAAAUACCCGGGCUUAACUUGGGGGGUGCAUCUAAUACUGGAGGGCUAGAGUGCAGGAGAGGGAAGCGGAAUUCCUAGUGUAGCGGUGAAAUGCGUAGAUAUUAGGAGGAACACCAGUGGCGAAGGCGGCUUUCUGGACUGUAACUGACACUGAGGCACGAAAGCGUGGGGAGCAAACAGGAUUAGAAACCCCAGUAGUCC